CGGGAAAGAGGGACAGGCCUGCGGGCUCCGGGGAGCGACGCCGCUCUGAAGAGUGGCUGCUCUGGAAGAGAAUCCGUGGAUUGAUUGGACUCCUGCCUUCUGCCAUUGUUACCUGGUCCUGUUUGCUUCCUGAACAUUAGUAGCAUCACCCAGCAGCACAUUGUACACUAUAGGCUGAGAUAUCACAGCCACAUCUUCACAACCUUUCCUACAAGCAUACUGCAAGAAAUGUACACCUUUGCAUCACUUCUACCCAAGACAGCAGAUGACAAGAUUGAAGGCCAUUGUUUUUUUUUAGUGGAGCACGGGAUCAUACAGGAGAGAAAGUUUUGCUGGUGUGCUGGAUCUAUUUCCUCUUUGCAUUUUGCUGGGCUGCUGAGAGCUCCACCUCACACCCGGUUUGUGCCUGUGGCUCACUGAAGAGCUGAAAACCUGGCAAGCUGUUGUCAUUGUUUCCUUUGUGACACAUUACAGAGCCUACUCAUAACGAAGUACUUAGUUUGUGUCCGGAAGCUCUCAGCUGUGGAGAUUUGAUGUAUGGCUUGUUGUGUCAAGUUUCAUCAUUUCUGUAAUAUUUUAUCCUCCCGCUAGUACCGCUUUAAACAUCUCAAUCCUGGCUACAAAUCUAAGCCAAAAGUUACCUAUGUAGAAAAGAUGUAAAAAGAUGUAAAUAUUUAUUGUUAGCUAUAGAAGUAGAAGAUGCCACAUUUUUUUUCUUUAUUAUUUUUUAAUUUUAAAUUACUCUCCCAGAUUCUAUUUUUUUUUUUUUUUUUUAGUACCUGGAUCACCUUAAUAAAGA